UCAAUAACUAUUGGCGUUGGAGUUUUGC
rnacentral:piRNA from 1 species